rnacentral:rRNA from 1 species
UACGUAGGGGGCAAGCGUUGUCCGGAAUUAUUGGGCGUAAAGAGCGUGUAGGCGGUCUGUCGCGUCUGCUGUGAAAAUCCGGGGCUCAACCCCGGACUUGCAGUGGGUACGGGCAGACUAGAGUGUGGUAGGGGAGACUGGAAUUCCUGGUGUAGCGGUGAAAUGCGCAGAUAUCAGGAGGAACACCGAUGGCGAAGGCAGGUCUCUGGGCCACUACUGACGCUGAGAAGCGAAAGCAUGGGGAGCGAACAGG